AUGCAUAAUCACAUUCCAACUUUUAUUGUUCAUUUUGUAUCUAUCUCAAUCCCUCUCUACCACUCGCAAACUCUAAAUAUUAGAGUUCUAUUUUCUUAAGUAUAUCACCUAUAUAGUAAUAAAGCCCUGCCCUAUUUUAAGUGUUUUAACCCUUGAUCACUGAUACCCUGUCCGACUGACGUAGGACCCCGUAACGUAUGUCAAGGCUCUGCCUAAAUUCGUUGGGGUUCUGUCUCGUGACGUAGGGAUAAAGUAGAUUGGGUCACUAUACUUAAUGUGAGUGCAUUAUAUAUUUUAUUAAAUAAUCCAGGAGUUGUACCCAAAAUAUAACAACCCUCCCGAAUAUUUUUCUGACACCCUACACUUCCUAAGAUACACCCCGUAUGUGAAAACCGAGCCCGAAAUACAAUAUAUUAUUAAAAAUAAUUAAAAACAAGAAAAUAUAAGUUUAGGCGGGCCGCGUAAAGAUCCUCGAUUAGUUAACGCGGGCCGCGAGAGGUUAGAAAGGUGGCGCAGCCCUGGGCCGCCACGUGGCAUAACACCCGUCAAGCCUACACAUCAACUCAGCAUAGCUAUACGUUGACUUUGGGUCAACGCGGGCCGCGUAAGACCUGCUCUCAUUUGACACGGGCCGCGAGAGAGUCCAGUAUCAGCACUAUAUAAAGGAGCCAUCGGGUUCAACUAGAAUUCGUUCAUUCUUCGAUUCUCAAUCUCAAAUUCUGAUAGUAGAGUUAUUAUACCCCUAAUUAGCGAAGCUCUGCCUCGUUAUUAUAACCAGGGAAUCACAAAGGAAAGCCCUAUAAUAGCAAUGUAACUUAGUAUGAAGCCAAUAAAAGCCAGCUGGAGAGCACUGAAGGCUUGGAAAAGUGGCUAUAAAGUUACCUAAAAUAAAAUAGAUGUUUUUAUUAAAUAAAAUAGGAUUUAUUCCUAUGAAAAUGUAUGUACUGCAAAACUUGGGUUUUAUCCCAUGUGUUUAAUAUUAUGAAAAUAUGGUGGUUUUACUCUGAUAGAAU
rnacentral:lncRNA from 1 species